UAGGCGGUUGGGUAAGUUUGGUGUGAAAUCUCCCGGCUCAACUGGGAGGGUGCGCCGAAUACUGAAUGACUAGAGUGCGGGAGAGGAAAGCAGGAAUUCCU
rnacentral:rRNA from 1 species